rnacentral:lncRNA from 10 species
GAGAGACCCAGGUCCUGCAGACUUCCUCUGGACACUUUUGGCAGUCAUUGUUCCCAGCUGAUUCUGCAACAGAUGAAGGACGGAGGAUAGAAUCAUGAAUAGCAACAUCUUAAUUGCUGACUGGGUGUUGAUUCUAAGGAUACCCCCAAUAAACAUCUUUCGUGCUAAAGCCCAUUCCAGAAUUUACUUCCCAGCUAUCUUUGAUGUUCAUAUUGUCAGAGGUGGUGGCCGCUGAAACAGGCAAAGACAUGGAGCAUAUCUUGGGUCCAGGUAAAGGAGGUGGGUGCACACAAGUGAAAAGAUGUUGCUGAAGUCACGUGGCUUCAAGCAGUAGAGCUGACUGUCCUCUAGUCCAGUUGUCCCUACAGGAUAAAAGCUUCUCUCCAUUACAGAGACCUUGGGAGUCCAGAGGAAGGUCUUUUUACCAUCAGCAUUCUCUACUGUGUUCAAUGACUGUCAGCCAAAGAUGGCCAGCUUUCCUUCAGAAAGAAAUGCAUUCAAAGAACCUACAUUCACAACAUAAAGAAAUAAAGGACGUUCCACCUGUUAAGGGUAAACAUAUGAUGGAAGUAUUGCCUCCUGAGAAAGCACAGUGUUCUGAUGGACAGACUAAGUAGAGGCAUAUCUUAGAAACAUGCCCCAGACGGAACAGUAAUGGCCUGUGAAUCUGUGCUUCCACAGCCUGCACCUACAGAUCUACACACAUGCCCAUGCACAUGCAGGAAGUGUUCAUCUAAGACUGGACCUUUUAGAAGAAAGCUGGCAUACAUUCGUGAAGGCAUGGGCUUCCAGGCAUGUCAUCUUCACUCACGAAGCACACACAAGACCGCCAAGCAUUAAGAUUCUCCUGUGGAGCCAGGCUACAAUCCUUUAAAUGAAGACAGACAGCUAGGUGGCUGCAGCCCAGCGCUACACCUCACCCCUCCCUCAGUGUCAUGCAGAAAAAAUGUAUUCAGAACUCAGAAGUGAAGUUGUGCAAAUCCAUCAUUGACACUAGCUUCAAGGUUACCUCGGGGGAGCAGAAUGUACCCCUGCCAGAGAGCUGGAUAGAUGAUGAUGGGGACAGAAAUUCUGGGGGAGUUGUAAAUGGCAGCCACUGCCUCUAUAGGAAACCCAAAGGGAACACAGCAGAAGAGGAGGUGGUGGAGGAGCCACUGCCCUCUCGAAGGGUUCAAUGUCAUUCUGCAGACACAACCAAAUAACUUUUUCUUCCCUGCUGCUCCUCCAUUUGAAAUGACAGCCCCGAGCUCGCUUUUUCCUUGAUUGUGUAACUCUGAUUACAGACAAGGCCAAGGCAAUCCCAGGGCAUUACUACAAAGCUAAGGGGUCCCCAAAGAACUAAAGAGUCAGCUCCACAAAAAUCCCGAUUCCUAGCAUGAAACUGAAAUAUGAAACCAAACGGGCAUAGAAAAGGUAUGUGCAUUCGAAUCACAUAGCAGUGACUGGAGUCCUGAGCUGUGUCUGAAGACUGUGAGAUCACGUUUGGAGCUGCUGAUUGGUUUUCAGUGAUGGCCCUGUUGCACAGUGCCGUGAGACUUAGCUCCAUGGCCAAAGACGAUGGUAUCCCCUAGGAGCCCUGUGAGGUUGCUGCUGUUCUCUUAAGACACCAGGUAGCCAUCUGAUCCUCCCUGAGCAAACUAACUGGGCAGACAGGUUUAUUAAACCUCUGUUGGUCCGACUUACAUGAAACAAGAGAGUUAUUUUGUUGUUGUUGUUUUGUUUUGUUUUAAAUUAAACCUGUCUUUGGAGCCUCCUGCUCUUAGUUUACAAGUCUUCUUUGCACACUCUAAUAUUUUAAGAAGCAGCAAACAUUAACUGAGGGUCUA